UUGUAGAUUGGGAUAACUCCGGGAAACCGGGGCUAAUACCAAAUAAUCCAUUUUGCUUCCAUGGGCGAAAUGUUGAAAGGCGGCUUCGGCUGUCACUACGAGAUGGGCCCGCGGCGUAUUAGCUAGUUGGUAGGGUAAUGGCCUACCAAGGCGACGAUACGUAGCCGACCUGAGAGGGUGAUCGGCCACACUGGGACUGAGACACGGCCCAGACUCCUACGGGAGGCAGCAGUAGGGAAUCUUCCACAAUGGACGAAAGUCUGAUGGAGCAACGCCGCGUGAGUGAAGAAGGUUUUCGGAUCGUAAAACUCUGUUGUAAGGGAAGAACACGUACGAGAGUAACUGCUCG
rnacentral:rRNA from 1 species